GACGGAGGAGGCAAGCGUUAUCCGGAAUUAUUGGGCGUAAAGGGUACGUAGGCGGCUGGUCAAGUCUGGGGUCACAGGCCAGAGCUCAACUGUGGGAAGGCACGGGAAACUGACCGGCUAGAGUGAGGUAGGGGUUGCGGGAAUUCCCGGUGUAGCGGUCAAAUGCGUAGAGAUCGGGAAGAAGGCCUGAGGCGGAAGCGCGCAACUGGGCCUCAACUGACGCUGAGGUACGAAAGCUAGGGGAGCGGAUGGG
rnacentral:rRNA from 1 species